rnacentral:piRNA from 1 species
UCUUAUCAAUCAGGAAGUAUUGAUUGUCCC